GCUUUGUUAGCCUUUCGGUUGCGUCUGCAGGUCCUGACCCCCUGGAGCAGGUUCUCUGUGGCCUAAUUAGGCACAUCCUUUGUGUCUUCUCUAUGUUUUGAGAAAGUGAAAAAUAUUUGACAAAAUCGUGGAUGUUUCUGAGAGAGAAGCUGUCAUACCAUAUAAAGUGAGAUUAGUUAUCUGCCUUCAGUUUUUAAGAGCACCAAGUCUGUUUUUUUUUUUUUUUUGGACAGAGAUACUCAAAAUUCUCCGAGGAGAGCACAGGUGCGGCGCAGGUUAAAUGCUCUCUAGGUAACUACGUAACAAGGAAUCUGGAAACUCUGCCCUUGGGGGAAGCUGAGGGCAGAGAACACAAGGGCACCCAAACAGACAUACAAAUAAAAAUGUCACAAACCGAAGGCAAAUCUCUAUGGUGACCAGAGUGAGAUCGUGUAUUAAUUAAAGUUACCAGCACGAAAUAAUUUAAAAUGUCACCUGGUGUCUCCUCUUUGUGUGAAUUAUUAACCUCACCUACCCCCCUCCAUGGAAGCCCCAGGAGCCAACUGCCAGAAACGCCUUACAUUCUGCGUGUCCCCGCUCACGACCAACUGCUACUUGUCUCUUGACCUUGGCACAGCCAUCACCUUCGUGGCAGAGCUUCUGACGUCCUCCAGGGGAUCUGCACCCCUCCGCAUCUCUUUGGAACUUGUGACAAAUGAGCAGAGAAGAGCCAGGGCACUGCCAUUGUGUCCAUCCCACUUGGAGGGUCUGAGAUGGAGGAGGGCUGCUCAGUCCACGUGGAAUUCAUACGGGCAAGAACUCUUCUAAUGGUAGCUGCUGCCUGAGGCUCCUACCUACCUGCCAUGUGGCACUGUCCCUGUGGGGUGCCAACGCCGAAGUCAGUCCAUCCUCCAUUUCCCCAUCCUGUGCUGAGAGCUUGGGAUCUUACACCUGUGACCUCCUUUAAUGCUUCCUGUGUGCAAACUCUCCUUCUGCCUUCGGUGGUUUGAUUAAUAUUAAAGUACAAUUUAUUUAUGUGUUUCUGUGGCUUCUAAGUCAUCUGGAAUCCAAAUUCAUUUUACUUCCAAUUAUUAACCAAUUUUUUCAAUAUUGAAUAAAAAUGAUUCUUAC
rnacentral:lncRNA from 1 species